rnacentral:rRNA from 1 species
ACAGAGGUGCAAGCGUUAAUCGGAAUUACUGGGCGUAAAGCGCGCGUAGGUGGUUCGUUAAGUUGGAUGUGAAAGCCCCGGGCUCAACCUGGGAACUGCAUCCAAAACUGGCGAGCUAGAGUAUGGUAGAGGGUGGUGGAAUUUCCUGUGUAGCGGUGAAAUGCGUAGAUAUAGGAAGGAGCGCCAGUGACGAAGGUGACCACCUGGACUGAUACUGACACUGAGGUGCGAAAGCGUGGGGAGCAAACAGGA